rnacentral:rRNA from 1 species
GUGAGGAAUUUUCCGCAAUGGGCGAAAGCCUGACGGAGCAAUGCCGCGUGAAGGAUGAAGGCCUAUGGGUUGUAAACUUCUUUUCUCAGAAAAGAAUUAUGACGGUAUCUGAGGAAUAAGCAUCGGCUAACUCUGUGCCAGCAGCCGCGGUAAGACAGAGGAUGCAAGCGUUAUCCGGAAUGAUUGGGCGUAAAGCGUCUGUAGGUUGUUUAAAAAGUAUUCUGUCAAAGAUUAGGGCUUAACCCUAGAUAGGCAGAAUAAACUUUUAAGCUAGAGUUUGGUAGAGGCAGAGGGAAUUCCCGGUGGAGCGGUGAAAUGCGUAGAUAUCGGGAGGAACACCAAAGGCGAAGGCACUCUGCUGGGCCAAUACUAACACUGAGAGACGAAAGCGAGGGGAGCAAAUGGGAUUAGAUACCCAAGUAGUCC